GCCGACAUAGCUCAGCUGGUUAGAGCGCUGGAUUGUGGAUCCAGAGGUCCCUGGUUCGAACCCAGGUGUCGGUACCA
rnacentral:tRNA from 1 species